rnacentral:rRNA from 1 species
AACCUCCGCAAUGUGAGAAAUCGCGACGGGGGGAUCCCAAGUGCCAUUCUUAACGGGAUGGCUUUUCUUAAGUGUAAAAAGCUUUUGGAAUAAGAGCUGGGCAAGACCGGUGCCAGCCGCCGCGGUAACACCGGCAGCUCUAGUGGUAACAAUUUUUAUUGGGCCUAAAGCGUCCGUAGCCGGUUUAAUAAGUCUCUGGUGAAAUCCUGCAGCUUAACUGUGGGAAUUGCUGGAGAUACUAUUAGACUUGAGACCGGGAGAGGUUAGAGGUACUCCCAGGGUAGAGGUGAAAUUCUGUAAUCCUGGGAGGACCGCCUGUUGCGAAGGCGUCUAACUGGAACGGUUCUGACGGUGAGGGACGAAAGUUAGGGGCGCGAACCGGAUUAGAUACCCGGGUAGUCCUAACUGUAAACGAUGCGGACUUGGUGUUGGGGUGGCUUUGAGCUGCUUCAGUGCCGAAGGGAAGCUGUUAAGUCCGCCGCCUGGGAAGUACGGUCGCAAGACUGAAACUUAAAGGAAGU